CAGAGCUGCUUUUCCUUCCUGUUCCAACCCUCUCACCUUUAAGUUAGCCUCUGCUGUCCCGGAGAGCCUGAACCAAAUGACAGGCACAGAUUGCCUUGAAGGUCUGUGCACCCCAGAGAGGCAGUACCCCACUUGGUGAUUUGCAGAAGUUCUCUGGACAGGGCACCCAUAAUAGGAUCAAGGUCUUAGUGAGUGGUGUUUGCUUAGCGAUGGGAGAAGCAGAGAAGCCCAUAGUAGUUUCUGAGACACAAAUCCAUUCCAGAACUGCCACCAACACCAGUAUUUUGAGAUGCCGAAGUUCUUGUGUGGAGGGAGGGAGGUUAGCGGUAAAAUCUUGUUGACUGUGGGAGUGUGGAACAGCUGUGCGGAAUGCAUAUUCUUUCCUAACUUGUGGAUCUGCUUUCUUUGGCUGUAAACAAAUUGAGUGCUUGAUUUUUCUCAGAGUGUCAGUGGAUUAGGCACGACUCAGCCGGGCCCUCUGGAGGUCUGGGGUGGAGUGCGUCACAGUCCAGGGGCUGUCGGGGCUGUGUUCUGUGCAGGACUGAGGAGGGGGCAUUUUUACAGACUGUUGGCAGAAUUGUUUCUUGAAGUUGUAGAGUUUGCAGCAGUUUGCUUCUUCAGUGGCCCAAUAGAGGGAGAGUCACCGUGGCAGGGGCUUUCUGUUAAACUCACCUGAUUAGGCCAGGCUCACCUGGGACACUAAUCUAGGACCCCAGAAUUGACUGAUGAGGGAUUUGAGUUUCAUCCACAAAAUCGUUUCACAAUCUCACUGUUUUCCUGGUUAGAUGCAAGUGCAAGUCUUAAGAGGAAGGGAUUACAGAAAACCAUGGCUACCAGGAGGCAUAAGUCUCAGGGGCCUUUUCAGAGUUCUGCCUACCAUAGGUGGGGUGUUGCAGAGGCACAAGAUGCUAAUAGUUUGUGUUAGUCUGCUCAGGCUUCUGUGCAAAUGUAGCAGACUGAGUGCUACUUAAACAAGAGAAAGCAUGGCAUCAGAGAUCAAGGACAGCAAAGUCACUUUCAUCCUGAGGCCUCUUGGCUUGGAGGUGGCCAUGUCUCUUGGUUGGCUGCUCAUGUGAGUGAGAAGGGAUGCAGUAGGAUACCUCGUCCACCAGCCUCAAGGUUUUAGCUCACCGUUAGCAUUCUCUAUAGCUGUAACCCGUGUUCCGGCUUAUGGCUUCAACGGCUGGUUUUCCACAGUGGACGAGGGAUGACCUGGUUUCAUCCAAAGCUGGUCAGAGAGUUUUCAUUGGAGUGGAGCGUCAUGACAUUGCAGAUUUUGGGAAAUUCUAUUGUCAUUUUAUGACCCAGGGUAGGUCACCUGUUCUAGAAUGUAGGUUUUUUUUUUUUUUUUCAACGAAACUAGUGGUUGACGACAUUAGCUAUCUUGCAUGUAUUUAAUUAACAUUAAUUGUUUGGAGAGUCUGUAUUCAGAGAGAGAGAGAGAGAGAGUACUGAGUAUCCAGCACUCAGGUACUGUAGGAGCUGGUGCUUGCUCUUCUGCCAGUUCUCUCUGUGGACCUUUCAGACUUAGGUGUUGAUGCUGACACCCAUAAGCCCAUUUUAUACCACGCAUCCCUGUCAUGUCAUCGCCAGCUUCUGUUGCUGUGGUCUUUCAUAGAACUUUACACAUGAAUGUGGUUCAGUUUAAAUAGUGGAUGGAUGCAUGGUCAGAUGAGUAUGGCCUUUGAGAGAACCUGUUUUCUCCUUCCUCUCAACCAUUUUUAACCAUUUCUAACUCGGUGCCUCCUUUUGAGAAGUGUAAACUCUUUCUGCCCCAUCAAGUUCCCAUAUUGAACCUACCUAUACCCCCUACCCACCUCCCUUGAAGGAUAGAGCAGGGCUUUUCCUGCAAAUUUGUUCUGCUGAGAUGUUUCUUAAGCUGCUCCUUCAAAUAAGAGCGAGGCUUCUUGACUGGCAGGUUGUACUGUCUUUCCCCCUUCUUGAGAGGCCAGCCGCAGAGUCUCUCUGUAACCGAGGAAGGCGUUGAGCUCCGGAACCUUUGCCUCUCUCUUGAGCGCUGGGAGGACAGGCCCGUGUCUCCAUGGCUUGCCUGCCUGAAUGUGUGUUCUCAACUGCGCUCUCUGCCUCCCUCCCGGACCUGCUCUGUCAGCACGAUACAGCCAAGGGUCACCAGGGAAGAGUCUCAGUGAGAAAUGGCCUAGAUCAGGCUCUCUUGUCAGCAUGCCUGUGUCUGUGAGGGUGUCUGUCUGCCUCUCUUUCUUUUAUGAUUUAUUUCUUUUUAUUUUAUGUGCAUGGCUGUUUUGCCUCCAUGUAUGUCUGUGUGCGGUGUCACAGUUCCCAGAACUGGAGUUACAGGCAGUUGUGAGCUGCCCUGUGGCUGCAGGAUUGAACCUGGGCCCUCUGGAAAAUCAGCCAUUGCUCUUAACUGCCGAACCAUUUCUUCAUCUUCAGCCCACAUUUUCUUAAUUGGUUAAUUGAGUUGGAGGACUUCUCUUGAAUGUGGGCAACACAGUUUCGUGAGCACACGUGCCUUCCUCUCCUCUUGUGACCCUGGAUGUGCCAUGAUUAGUCCUGUAGAGUCCCUGCCUUGGCUCUCCCACAGUGACAGACUUUCACUUGGACUCAUUAGCCAAACCCUUCUCCUGAAGUUGCUAGCAGGCAUUUUGUCAGGGCAGCAAAAGUGAAGCUGAGACAGGAAGCAGGCUUUUGUUCUUACCUUUGGAGUUUUGCUCUCAACACUUGACACAUGUAGACUCCUGCUAGGGUUAAGUGUUUUGUUUUGAGGGUAGUGCUGAGUCUCCACCCUCUUGUGUGUGAGAGACUCCUCCUCCUUCGCUUUAGACCAGUAGUGAUUCUCAACCUGUGGGUCAAGACCCUUUGUGGGAUACACUGACCCUUUCAUAGGGGUUGCAUGUCAAAUAUCAUGUAUAUCAAAUAUUUGUAUUAUGAUUCAUAAAACUAGCAAAAUUACAGUUAUGAAGUAGAACUGAAGUAAUUUUAUGAUUGGGGCUCACCACAACAUCAGGGUCCUGUGAUGGUUGAAAACCAAUCCUGUUGUUUAAUGGGUCAGUGUGUGUGUGUGUGUGUGUGUGUGUGUGUGUGUGUGUGCGCGUGCGCACGUGUCUGUGUGUGUCUAGGGAGUGAGCCCAGACAUGCAUUCAUGGUGCCUGUUCUAAGCCUUUUGUAGAUACUACUGAUACUUAGGGUGUCCUUGUGAGCAUGGCAGAGUUGUGAAGCAGCGCUUAUGUGCAGUGGAGUAAUGUGGGGAGGGAGGUCAGCAGGACCGCUGUCCAGCUCACUCCAGUGGUGAGCAGAUGCAGAUGCCACCAGCCAUGGACGUGUCAUGCUGGCAUGCAGUGUGCUGGUGGGUAUGAUGGACCCAUUAGCUCUCUUCACCAAGCCAGCAAAUCAAAUACUUGGUUUCAAGAUGAUAGCAUGGUUUUGUAGGGGAACUUUGUUUUUAAAGGAAUUUUUGGGGACAUACAUAGGGAUUAAAAUUCAAUGCAGGAAAGGAAGGCAAAAUUCCAUAGGGCUCCAUCCAUCAGGACCCAUUUGAAAGAGGCCUUGUGUAGACUUGGGUUGUGUCCAGAGGGGAACAUUCCCACUAUACUUUGGAAGCCUCUUGCCUUAGGAUGGUCAGCCUGCUCUCAUGGACUGCUAGAGAUGGCAGAUAUGCAGGUGAAUUUGAGGGCCAAAAAUUGAGGGAUCUCUAAGACUUAAGGAUCUGGGAGGAAGUUGGACAUUCAUUUUGAAAAUGCAAGUGAAUAGUAAAGAGAGAAGUGGAACCUUGGCCUGGAUUUUCAUGUGUGCAGUGCCUUUGCAGUAUGGCCAUGUGGAUCAUACGGCUUCAGUAUGGGAAAAUGACAAUAGUUAAUGAAAACCCUUCUACCUUGUUGUGUAUUUCAGAGAUUAAUUUUUACACUGAAAACCUGUUCUAAGUGUAUCUUGUUUGUAUGCAAGUGUGUGCAAGUUGCAUGCAAGUGACAGUGUGUGUGCAGGUCAGAGGAUGACUUUCAGGGGUCACACUCAGGCUGUCAGGCUCGCUUUUACCUGCUGAGUUGUCUCACCAAACCCAAACCCCCAAAACACUCUUAUGUCCUGAUCUCUGUUAAUUGAUUGUGAUAACAGGGUUAUCGAUAGACUAUUAAACAGUGAUCAAGGAAUUUAAUAAUAAAACUAUAUCAAACAUUCAAAUAUUUUUGAAAAUCAAUGAUGCAUGUUUAUAUGUGCUUGAAAAAAUAGAUUUUGGUGUCUUGAUGGUAAGUUUCUAGAAUUUUGCUAGCAAAUAGGCUGAUACUGCUGUAAAUCCAUUUGGUGGAUCAUGUGACACACUUGUGCCUUUACUUCUGGCCUAGGGAUAAUGUGACUUUCUUGCUUUUCUUUCAUUAUCACCUUUUUCCCUCAUCCAUUUUUAAAAUAGCAAUGCUUUUCAUACUGUCAGAAUCUCAUGUUGUGACACCCUACUCAGCAGUUGUGACAGUAGGUAAUGACAGCAACUGCCUCCUGAGAAUCAAUCAGGCAAUUAAUUUUGUAAAUGAAAUGCUGAUUAUACAAAGCUUCACGUGAGAGGCCCAGUGAUUAAAAUCAAUUUAACAAAUUGUUUCAGGUGGGGCUUGAUUAAUAAUUUGCCAUAAAUGCUAAGGAUCUAUGACCAGCAUACCUGCUGCUGUUCCAUCCCUGCCAAGUCUGCAGGUGGCCUUCCGUCUACAUCCAGGUAGAGGAGUCAGGCUUCACCAAGUUUCUCAUGCUUUGAUUGUUUGUGAGCCCUUGCCUGCAGUGAAUUGGAACACACACUUAUGCUUUUUGUAUUAUCAUAGUUCAUGUGGACUGCUUGUAAAACUAUUGGAGGGCUGGAGAGAGAACUCAGCAAUGACUUUUUCAGAGGACCUGGGUUCAAGUCUCAGCACUUACAAGAUGGCUCACUGCUGGCUCUGAUUUCAGUCUCAGGGGUUCUGUCGCCAUCUUCUGGCCUCCAAGGGCACCAGGCAUGCAAGUGUUACAUGACCAUACAUGCAAACAAAACACCCAUACAUAGGAAUUU
rnacentral:lncRNA from 1 species